AACUUUUAAGUCUCAUUUUGGGCUCUUUGUUUCUCUCUCUCUUUCUCUCUCUCUAUCAAACUCUUCGCUCAUUGUUUUUCUAGAAAUUUCUUUUGUUCCUAAAACAUAAAUUUCAUCUUUAAUUUGUGAAAUCUCAAAUAAAUGAAGCUUCAUUUCUGCCGUUAGGUUUCUCUAAAGUGGUGUUGCUUGACAUUUUAGUUCGAUUCAUGGAGUUCUUAACCAAGUAUUUGAAUACACAAGUUGGGUUUAGCUCACUCUAAAGAUCCAACUUUGCUUCAGAAAGGUAAUUGAUUAAUUUAAGUGUUUGCAUUUAUUUUUUUGGUUAUAAAUUGGUAAUUAUGAUUCUGUAGUUUCUGGGAUUCUAUAAUUUUUACAUAAGAUUCUAAAUUGGGGAUGUUAGAAUGCUUUAAAUAAACAAAUGAGCUUUAUAAUCAGAGUCAAAUGGUAGAGCGUGCAGUAAAAAAUGACAUCAACCGGCAACUUUGCCGCCAUAUCCAGUGGCUUCAGCAGAAAAGCCAUAGCUUUCUGCUCCUCUAUUGUAUGAAGUUUGUUGACACACAUAUUCUUGCAUACUUUAAACAAGUGUGUUUAAAGUACUCCUACCUUAUAGAAGCAUUAGAAAACCUUUCCACGAAGAUUAGGCAUAUAUUUUAAAUUUCUUUCUGUUUUUGUUGUGGCAAUUAAUUUUAGAGAUAAACCUAUCAAUCACUUAUUGUGUGUGCACUUGGAUCUCCAAUUUCUUUUAACUUUUGUAAACUAGCACUUUCUUGGUGCUUCCAGUAAUGAAUACACCUUACAUGCCUCAAAUAUAAAGCAUAUUGUCAAUUUUUUUACCAAUGCGAUGACUUUUUACAGAUAGUAUGAGCCUUUUAGCUUUUUUGUUAUGAACAAAAAAAUAUUAGUAGUCAAUCCUGAAUUGGAGUUAUUCGACUUAUCUUGAAUUAUGUGUGAGUUUAUGAUGUACCAAUUUCAGGUGCAACAAGUAUUAGUUGCUGGCGUUCUUUUCCUUUUUUUUUUGUAUAAAAAGUAGCUAAAAAGUGUUGAAUGGCAAAGGUUUAGUUGAGCAUGUUAUAUCUAACUUUAUUUUGCUUAUCUGAUGAUAUAUAUUUGAUCAACAAGACUUCUAGACAUAUGGUUCAGUUUUUACCUUCUUUAUUGGUUGUAGCAUUUUUGUGAAUUCCUUUUUUGAACAAAAGAUAAGGGCAUGAGGCCACUUCUUUUCAAUUAAUUUUGUGUUAGUUAAACGAAAUGUGAACAGUAAUCCUAAUUUUGAGUUGUUGGAUAAUUUUUCAAUUUUCCGGGCUUACAUGUAAGUUUUUUUAGGAGAAAGUUAUUUUGGUGAAGUGACGUUUAAACAAACAAUUGAGGUUAUUUAAAGAAGGGGCAAGAUUUGGAGUUCCAAAUGGAUUCUUUAAAAGUUAUAUUGCAAGAUAUUAAGGCUGACAUUUCAUUAAUCAAUGCAAGAAUAUGUGUUUCUUUCGAUCUUCGGAUGUUUGAAUGCUUUCAUGUGAUAUUUUUUAUAAUCUUGAGUGUUUGAGUUAAUAAUAUUAAUAUGUGAGAUAAUAAAGCCAAUGUGUUAAUUAGUUAAGCCCAUUUUGUAACAAUGAUGUGAGGUGACUUAUGUAAAGUUUAAUAUGAAUGUUGUUAUAUUUUAGGCACACUAAUAGAUCAACUAAUUGAUAACAUCGCACGUUAAGUUGCUUGAGAUUCUAUGGAUUGCUUGGGAGAAGAGUAUCAAGAUUAGAAUUACACAGGAACUUAUGCUACUUACCCAAAAAAAACAAUAUCACACAAUGCUAUUUUCGAGCCAAUUUGGUAUUAGUAUUUAAACAUUUUCUUUCUCUUGUUUUGCAUUCCUAUAUUGUACUAGCACUCUACUCUAAUCUUAUUCUUCUUUUGAUGGUUUGAAUGGAUUUUACCAGUCUUCAACUAUGAUCGAAGCAGUUCCCUGUUCAAGAUGAUAUUUAGUUUUUUUACCAUUUUGUAAUAGCGGUCUUUUUUGUAAAGGAACCUCCCUGCUUGGUUUCUGGGUGGAAAAGGUUACAUAUGCGUAAACACGAUUACAUAAGGAAGAGGACUUUGAGCCUAGCUUUCCUGAAACAAUAUACAGCCACCCAAUUCUUACAAAUCUAAGAUCAUGAAGGACUCCAUUUACAUUAGCUCUGUACAACCUUAUCAUUACUAAAUUAGACAUGUAUUCUUGUUAGUUUUCAAAAUUGGUAUAUCUUUUUUGCUGUUUACGCCCUAGAAGAUGAGAAUUGCAAGUAAUUUAUCCAUCCUUAACUAUCCUUUAGCCUCUUCAGGUAGCUCCCUCCAACUAUGUAUAAAUACCUCAUUUAGUACUGGUUCUCAGGGAGGCAGGAAGUUGACAAACUUUUCUUUCUUUUAUAUUCAUUAAUCUCAGGAGCACAGUGGCCAUGGUAAAAGAAAUUCAAAUGGCCAAUUGAAAUCAUAUUUACUUAUUCAAACUUUAUUUACCUCUCAAAGUUGUAUAUGCAUUUGAGUUGCAUGAUGCAUUUUACAAUUUCUGUG
rnacentral:lncRNA from 1 species